GCUCUCAUCUGCAAUAAAUCCUAGUGCUGGAAAACGCAACUUCCCACAGACACUCUACACACAGAAAAGCAGCACAAAAAGGAGCCCAUCAAAAACCAUCAAAAGAGAAACAAUAAUUCAGUGCUGGCUGCCCCCAUUUAUGUACUUUUUUUUUUUUUUAAAGCAAGCCCCUGAAUAAUGGCCUCCAUAUAACAUAGGCUGAGCUCCCUGCUGAAGAGUGCUUUGGACUGCGGAUACCAUGGAGCACACAUAGUGGCAAUCCACCUCCUCAAGGCUUUGGCCCUGCAGUCUGGAUCCACAAAGAGGCACCAAGUAAUGGCUUCCUUAUGGACUCCCGACGCAAGACUGAUGGGCUGACAGAAGGCAUGGGGGCUACCGUCUGCACUGCCGGCAGAUUUUUACUUGUGGCUCCGUUGACAAAACUGGACGAAGAGGAGGUCGAGGAUGCAGCAUCAGUGGCUCCUGCAAGAAGACCAACAAAAGCAUGCAACAUUCAUGAAGUGCAAAAAAUUAUUUUAAAUAUAUAUAUUUUUAGUAAUGUUAAAUAAUUUUACAUAGAGGUAAGGAUUAACAUUUACAUUACAAAAACAAUGUUUUUAGCAUGUUAAUACUUUUGUUGUCAAAGAUUAAACACAAUACUGAA